rnacentral:rRNA from 1 species
AACGUAGGAGACAAACGUUAUCCGGAUUUACUGGGCGUAAAGGGCGUGUAGGUGGUAAUGUAAGUCUGGCGUGAAAUUUUUCGGCUUAACCGGGAAAGGUCGUCGGAUACUGCAUGACUAGAGGACGGUAGAGGAGAGUGGAAUUCCUGGUGUAGCGGUGAAAUGCGCAGAUAUCAGGAAGAACACCAAUGGCGAAGGCAGCUCUCUGGGACGGUACUGACGCUGAGACGCGAAAGCGUGGGGAGCGAACAGG